rnacentral:lncRNA from 1 species
GUGUAUUUCAAAAGCCUGAGAGGCAGAGGUGAAUGGUGUAGAUUUCAGUUUUAGUUCGAAAGCCUGAAAACCGGGAAUGCUAAGGGCAGAAGAAGGAAUGUUCCAGCUCAAGCAGUCAAGCAGAAGAAAAAACUUCAAACCUACAAAGGAAGAAAUAGAAUGAGACAAGAUGAGAAGCAGCAAGGACUUACGGCACAGAGAAGUUAAGGAGUUUGGCUGAG